rnacentral:rRNA from 1 species
GAUGAACGCUGGCGGCGUGCCUAAUACAUGCAAGUCGAGCGAACAGACGAGGAGCUUGCUCCUCUGACGUUAGCGGCGGACGGGUGAGUAACACGUGGAUAACCUACCUAUAAGACUGGGAUAACUUCGGGAAACCGGAGCUAAUACCGGAUAAUAUAUUGAACCGCAUGGUUCAAUAGUGAAAGACGGUUUUGCUGUCACUUAUAGAUGGAUCCGCGCCGCAUUAGCUAGUUGGUAAGGUAACGGCUUACCAAGGCAACGAUGCGUAGCCGACCUGAGAGGGUGAUCGGCCACACUGGAACUGAGACACGGUCCAGACUCCUACGGGAGGCAGCAGUAGGGAAUCUUCCGCAAUGGGCGAAAGCCUGACGGAGCAACGCCGCGUGAGUGAUGAAGGUCUUCGGAUCGUAAAACUCUGUUAUUAGGGAAGAACAAAUGUGUAAGUAACUAUGCACGUCUUGACGGUACCUAAACAGAAAACCACGGCUAACUACGU